AGCAUUUGACAGACGAACUGAAUCCCAAUAAUCAACUCCAAGAUAUAAAUCAAAUGAUGGUGGUCGAUUUAUGUUAUCAUAGUUGCCAUACAUGAAACUCACUCUGAUCAAGCGAUAUGUCAUGGAUUUCACCGGUAUCGAUAAACUCGGCAUCAGAAACAUACUUGAGCGUUGUUCUACUGUCAGUAUAAUUGGAAUUUUCUGGUAUACCACAAUCUAUGCUAAUGAAACCUGCAAAGCAAAAGGAAAUAAAAACAUCAUCCCUCUUUUUCUUCACAAGCUCGGAAUGCAAAAAACUUCGAAAGAAUAACAAAUUGAACCUGAUUGAUCUUGACCAUCAACAUGGACCAGAAGGAGAGGCAAAAGUGCAUAAAGCAGGAGAAGUCUAGGCAUUUCAGAUCACCCUUUUGAUGGUGACCUCAGAAGUACCAAGUUAAUUAAUUGGGGCCAAUGGAGGCAGCCACAAGGUGUAAGAAAUGGUCAUCUACCUGGAAAAGCAAGUAGUAUUCAGCAGGUAACUUCUGCAUAAUUUUCCAUCAGCAUGAGCCUUAAACACUUCCAUUUGUCAAAUCAAGAAUGGAUGUUUUUGAUGGAAAAGAACCAAGGGAGAAUGGAAUUAGGAGUGAAAAUUCCUUAGGAGAAAGUUGCAGAAAAUGAAACUUUGUAGCCAUUGAUAUUUCUGAGUUUGAAACAGUCCAAGUCAAUGAAGUUGACCACUUCUUUGUUUAUGUUUUGACUUGUUUUUAUUACAAAAUGUACUUGUCUAUGCUUAUUAUAUUACAUAUGGAACCACAAGAUGCCUUAAAAAAAUCAUGGGUGAAGUAUUGUGAAAUGUUCCAUUUUC